ensembl:lncRNA LINC00251 long intergenic non-protein coding RNA 251
AGAAUCAGGGAUCUAAAGUGAUACAAACCCUUAAUAUGGUAGCUCCCAAACUUGCUCCAUUAUAAAUAUCACCAAAGGAGUUUUUGAAAAACAGAGAUGCUGAUGUUCUACUUCAAACCUCCUUAAUCAAUCUCCCUAAUGUUUAUUUAAACAGAGCUGAAGCUAUUUCCUGGUAUCAAAGACCAAAUUCCUAGAACUAAGGGACUGCUGAUUUUGCUUUUUUCAGCAAUUACCAAGGUUGAUAGUUCGCUAUGGAAAAGUUUUCAUGUCACUCACAGCCAGGAUUUUAAGAUUCUAUUACUCUUGUAAAUCAAUUUCUUGUUUUCUUCUCAAGUGGUUUGUUAUGAAAGAUAUGGGAGGCUCUGCAACAGCAUAUUCUACAAAGAAAAAGAUAAAUGAACAGAAUUCACUCUAAGAUUCACCAUGGAUGUUUACUAGUCAACUUGAUGUCCCAAACCAUCUGCCUAUCUAACACAGCUGAUCUUAAGUUCAUGCUUCACAGCUAUUGGAUGCCCCUUAACCAAGGACUUAGGGCUCAAAUAUUUGAAGAACACUGGAGUCAGGAGACCAGGAUUUCAGAUCUGACUGACACUAACUAGGCUCACCUGGGAGAAACCAGAUGCUCUGUAGGAAAUGCAACGGUCCUGCAAACACCAUGCUAUGGGAAGCCCAAGCCAUGUGCAGAGGCCCUGGAGGAAGAGAUUCAUUGUGUCGAGCAAGAGACCACAUGCAUGAGGAAGCCAUCUUAGAAAUGGAUCCUUCAUCCCACCCAUUUCAGGAGAUUCAGCUUUGACUAGGAAGGCAAAGGCCACACUACAGGGCUGUGGUUCUCAAAGUGUGAUGUCCAAACCAUCAACAUCAACGUCACAAGAGAACCUGUUAGAAAUGCAAAUUCAUCGGUCCCAUCCAAGACUUAUAGAAUCAGAAACUCCAGGUGGGCUCAGAAAGCCCUCCAGGUGAUUAUGAUGCCCGAAAGCAGAGACUGGCAAACUGCAGCCAAUGGACCAAAACCACUGGGUGGCUCGAUUUUGUACAACAAUGAGCUAAGAAUGGGUUUUACAUUUGCGAACAGUUGCAACAAAAAGUAACAAAGCCAAAGAAGAAUAUGUAAUUGAGACUUAUGUGGCUGGUAAAGACUAAAAUUUCACCUUAUGGCCUUUUACAGAAAGUUUGCCAACCUCCGCAUUCAAGUUGAGAACUAUUGCCAUAAAGGCUUGCUCAGUAAAAGGAACUUAGAUCCCUGAAUAACUUAGUGGAGCAGAAGUGCUCUGUCAGUUUGGCCUGCUCACUCCAAAACUGCUAGAGAGAAAAAUAAACUCCUAGGCCGUGUAAGCCUCCAUACACGGGGCCUCUGUUACGGCAGCUGAGCCCAAAUCCUGACCAAUGUAAGAGGUUAAGAAGGAGCUGCUAUACUACA